AUAUAAUGUAACACUGCAGACUAAUAUUUGUAAUAUUGUUUCUCUUUGCUUUAGCUUACAGAAAGCAUUAUCCAUCAUUCUUGGAAUAAUGAAAUAUGAUGGUUAGAAAAAGAUUGCUCAAGAUGUGUAUCCACCUAAACGGCUGGCUGAGAAGGGAAUAUCAUUUGUGAAAAACUUCCUUCAGCUAAGGUAGGAACCACAUGACUUAUCUAUACUUCUUCAAGAUAGUGUACGAGUUCUUGGAACAACACCUUAGAGAAUAUGAGCAACUAAUAUAAAGGAAUCCUCCACUUGGGAAAGCAUGGACACUAAAGCUUUUCCAUCAAAAGGACGAUACUAAAGCUAUGACUGGGUAGAUUGUUAUGGAAGUUUAAGGGAAAAGUUAUGUAAUUGUAUGUGAAGUAACUCUGUAUUUGAUUCAAAUUGUUUGUAAUAUACUGAAAGUAUUGAAAUAAGAAUAGAUGUUAUUGUGAA